rnacentral:lncRNA from 1 species
UAGGGCUGCACCUGUGGCAUAUGGAUGUUCCCAGGCUAGGGGUCGAAUCAGAGAGUGCAGCUGCUAGCCUGCGCCACAGCCCCAACAACACUGGAUCUGAGCCACAGCUUGUGGACACAUGGGAUCCUGAACCCACUGAGGGAGGCCAGGGCUAGGAUAUGAAUCGGACUCUUAACCACUGAGCCACAAUGGGAACUCCCCUGGUUUCUAUAAGGUACUUGGGGAGUGGCAACACCCUGAAUCCACAUCCACGUCAGCUCCUUCUCAGGUUUCCUGGCGAUCCCGUAUUAGCUGUGGGAAUAGGCCUGAAAAGUACAAGCAGGCUACAGAGGUAGUGUUACGGACACACGGUCACCAGGGAGAAAGCACAAUCACGCAGUGGUUAAGUGACCAGCAAAUCAUGGCCUUGCCCAAAACAUGGCAGCACGUGUUUUGAAUCUCGGUGAGGGUUUCUCCACCUUCAUACUCCUGACAUGUGGGUCCUGAUAAUUCUUUGUUGUUGGGGGGGCUUCCCUGCUGUCCAAGGUCAAGAGUAUCCCUGACCUCUACGCACUAGAUGCCAAGCUCACUCUCCCUCCAGCUGUGAAAACCAAACAUGUUUUCAGACGUUGACAAAUGUCCCCUGGGGACAAAAUCGCCCAGAUUGAGAAGGGCUCAUCUGGGCAAUUUGCAGAAUAUCCUGUUCUUUCAUUCUGGGGUGACAUAUUUAACAGCUAUUAGAUAAUACAAGAAUAUGACCCACUCAACAACUUCAUAGAAAUUCUAAAGUGAUAUGAAACUUCUUUGGGGGAUAAAGUUAUUAAGGUUAAAGAAAAGUGAACUUCUUUCAAGUAUUAAGCAUGUGGCAGGCACUAUUGGCUGGCUUACUCAACAGCCUUUCCUACCUCCCUUCUCUCUCACUGCCUCCCACUAAAGAAGCAUAAAACCAAAAGCUCAUGUUCCCUGCCUCCCUUGUAGCUAGAGCUGGGCAUGUGAUCCGAUAGCUCCAGCCAAGGAGACCUGAGCAGAAGUCUAUAGUGCCAGGAGAGGGGCUUUGGGGGAAGAUUUUUACUUUCCUGAAUAAAAUGAGGCUGGUGUGGUCCUUCUCUCUUCCUACCGUGAACCUAGAUGUGAUGGUAAGAGCUGCAGCAGCCGUUCUGGGGCCUUGAGGGAAAGACAAAGAAAAUGGUGUCAGCCCUGACACCACUGAGUCGCUAAUCCAAUGCCAGUAACUAUCAGAGCUACUGGACUUCCUGAUAUGUAAAAAACUAAAUACCUUUAUGUUUAGGCCACUGGAGUUCUGCUGUUUCUUGCAGCCAAAGGCAAUCCUAACAGGGAUGAGCACUGAGAUAUAAAUGUCGAAAUCAUGAAGACCAGGCACAAAUGACUGAGGGUGAAACCAUGGAGGAGAGGGCAGGCUCUGAGGUCCAACUGGAGGAUUUGAAUACUAUCUACAUCCCUUGCCAGCUGUGUGAAUGUGGGCAAGUUUGCUGUACUUUGGUUUCCCCACCUAAAGCAAGGGAGCAUAAGAGCAUAUAGCCAGCAUUACCAGGGAGCCUAAAACAAAGUAUAUACAGAGAAGGCUUACCCCACUACUUGACAAAGAGUAAUCCCCAAUGCAUAUUAUUUUACUUAUAAAAUACAAACUCUUACCAAAGCCACACAACAAAAUAGGGAUAAAGACUGGAAUUGAUUUAGUCAUUGACUCUUGGCAACAUUUAGCAAGGAAGCUACCUCUAAGUACUGUAUUUGAAAUACCUCUGCCUUGGAGCUAAUGGAUAAGUGAGCAGAGGAGACAACAAGCAACCAAGACUUCCUGGAGGAUCCACGUCUAGAGAUCCAGGGCUCUCUCCUCCUGCCAGCCACCCGUCUCUCCAAGCUCCAGCCACACUGGCCCUCCUUGUUAAGCUGGGGCUUCCGCACAUGCUUUUUCCACUGCCUAGAAUAUUCUUACCCUCUGCUUUUGCCUAGGUAGCAAUAUGUUAGUUGUACUCCAAUAUCCACUCUUCCUGAACCCCUAAUAACAUCCUCAGCUGGGCCCAUGACUGUUGAGAAAGGAAACUACAUUUCCCAGACUCCCUUGCAGCUAGAGGUGAUCACAUGACUGGGCUCCUGGCCUGUAGGAUAAGAACAGAAGUCAUGUGGGCAACUUCCUGGUUGUGCCCUUCUGCCCUCUUUGCUCUGGUGGGCAUGCAGCCACGGUAGUGCCCCAUCUUGAUUCACGAUGACGGCAAUAUGUGGGGACAACAAAGCAACAAGACGCAAGGAGCCUGAGUCCCUGUCACCCUUAGGGACAGAGCUGCCACAGCAAGCCGGGAUUUUUUUUUUUUUUACACCAGCGUGAAAUGAGCUUCCCUCUUAAGCCAUACAGCCACAUCUAUACUCUCAUAUGGGCUCCCCCCUCAGGGGGUCUCUUCUAUCCUUUGAUGAAUCAGGUCAAAGCCCCUACUGCACUCACUGAGCACCACAGAGCUCCCCUUACUUCCCGGCUAUGACUUUCCACUCGUUUGGUCAAUCCCCCGCCCCCAAGACUGGAAGCACAAGGAUGGCGGGAGUUCUCUGCUCCUCUUUGGAUUCUCGACAUCGAGUUAAGUGGGAGGAUAUUCAGGGGCCCCUGAGAGAGCGUCCGCUCAGUGGGGCCAUGUCACAGGACCAACGGGCGAGAGCUCUGUCCUCUGAGCACAACUCGUGAGCCUGGAGCACUGACCCUCAGAGGCUCUGUCUCCUGCAAGGGGCGUCUAAGAGCAGGGGAAGAUGUACCCCUGACACCCACUCAACCUUGAUUUCGCAUUUCCCCCAGAUCUCCCUUACACAGAAGUUAAACAACAAGGCUGUCCAACCGCCUGGAGAGGGAACAGUUACUAGCAAAUCACUUUAUUAGGUUCACGCUGACAUUUCAUCUUCGAGUAAAUAUGCUCAUUAAAAAUGGGUCAAAUCCAAGAUACACAGUCAGUGAGACAUAAAGAACAUGUUUUCAUGAAAUCCUUUUCCCGCUUUUAAAAGAAUAUAUUUGGAUAUGCAGAGCAGAGACUGAAAAUUAAAAUGCCAAUAAGUUUUCUCUGAAGAGUGUAAUUAGAGAGGGUUUUCGCCUUUUGCUAUACUCAUUCCCACACUGUUUGACUUUAUACUGUACCUCCUAUAAUAUCAGACAAAGACGGGAAUAAGAGGGAAAAAAGUCCCCUUAAGGACUUCAUUCAGGGCCAUGUUUGUUUUCACAUUUUACUACCGGCGUUCCAGCACGGUUUCAUUUUAUACCAUACCUCAUAUAGUAUCAGACCAAGAAGGGACUAAGAGAAAAGAAAAAAGUCCCUUUAAGUAAUUCAAUCAGAACCAUGUUUAUAGUAAUAGAAAACCUGGAAUUUCCCCAGGAUGCAUCGGUCAGCAGCCCUCAGAGCGGGCACAGCCCACCUCCAUUCAGGUGCCAUGGAUUUAGAUCCUUAAGCAGGUCUUCUUAAUCCUAUACUACAAAGAAAAUCUGCAGAAUGACUCUCCCCCACCCAUCAGCCUCAUUUUAGAGCCAAUACCUAAAACCGCAGCAGGCCUCCUCAAGACCUGAGCACCCUAAAGGCACCCUACAACACCAGGCAAAUUUGCCUGACUCCGCAGAGGCUGGGGACCAGUAUCUGAAUCCGUGGGGUCAGGUGGGGCUCCAUCCUGAUUCUGCCAAGACCUGCAGAGGGCCCAGAGGUUUCGAGGAUGUGCUAUGCCAGGAGAGAAUCACCACAUCAGAAAUCCCCACUCCACCGCCCCCAACUGUCCAGCCUCCUGCAGAAGCACGUGGCUGCUGCGCUCUGCUAAGAACAGCCUCUACAUCUUGCAUCUUUUCUUUCCAACAGUAAGAUACGGGGCUGGAUCACGGUCCCCACUUUAGAGAUGAGGACAGUGAGGCUCCCAGAAGUUAAGUGCCUGGCCCUAAGGUGGCAUGCAGGGAACUAGCAAGGCUGGUUUUUCAAAUCCCGGCUCUUGAACCUGGCCUCCUGACCGGCGCCGUAUACAUGCCUGGCUUUCUUUGGACUUGCACUGUCUCCUCACCCAAGCAUCCCCAGGCCUUCAGCUGUCAAUGUUCAGACUGCCCCGAUGCCCAACCAAUACCCUCUUUGGGAAUAAACAGGGUCUGACCCAGGGGUGAGCCCUCUCUUCACCCCUUCCCAUCAAAGAUGCAACUGAGCUGCAAGUGGGCCAGCCCUGACCCUAGCACCAAGUGUGAAGUGGUUCACUCAGACCUCAGGGAUCAGUGGACAAAAGUAAAGGAGAGGCGAGCCCAUCACACUACAACUGCGGUCCUCAGAGUCUAACCUACCAGGUGUCUUUUCUCCUCGACCCUGGGUUAGUAAAAUGAAUGACUUUGAGGGAGAAGCCUUAUGAAAGGGCUCCCAGAUAAUCUAACUCAGCUAUAACUACAGCGUCACCUUCCCCAGCACCCUGCUGCUCCAACUUUCCCCUGGGCCACUGGUCUCCAGCCCUAUAAAAGCUGAUUAGAGGGACUACAGAAGGCACUGCCAUUAAUAUGCACCUCACGGCUGCUCUUAAUAAUCAGAAAAACAGCCAUAAUGAUGGGCACUCUUAGAGAGGCCCUGCUAGUAUUGAGCCAACACGUUUUAAAAAACAAGCAGGGCUGUAGCUAGGACAAACCCUUUUCAAAUGAUGUGAGAUAUUCACUCCACUCCUAAGAACAUGUGCUAAAGAAAUAAGUCAACAGGCACCACCCAUGUGAUAGUCAUUAGAGAGUUUUCUUUAAGAGAAAAAAAAAAUUAAAAAAAAAGCACUGGGGAAACAGCAACCUAAAUGUCAAACCACAGGCCGUAAUUAUGGAAAUUACCGUCCACCAAGACAAGGAACUAUUGCUUAGACAUUUAAAGGUAUAAUUACAAAAGUUAUACAGGAACAUGGGAAAAUCCUUACAAGACUAAAUGAAGACGGGGAUGGAAGAGAGUACACGCUCUGCAAGAGCAACCUUGCGAAACCACAUAAAAAUCUGGACGGAAUUCGGAUGUUAAUGCACCAAACAAUGACCAAUGGAAAAAUACGGGCAACACACAUGACUGACAAAGGGGCAAGUUUCCAAUAUACGAGAGCCUCUGAAAAGUAAGGGGGAAAGGCCUGUGUAAAGAUGCACAAAAAGGAAACGGAAAGAAAGACAUACACGAAAAGAACAGGCACAUGGCCGAGGAUUGUGACAUAGGAUGCUACGCUUCUAAGUAAAAUGCAGGUGAAAAUCAGAUAUAUUUUUAUACAACAUAUUUUGAUAAUCUUUCAAAUUAACAGAAUUGAACCAUGUCCAGUGCCAGGAAAGAUGAAGAGGAAUGGGAAUGCUCAUUCCUUGUCAUUAGGAAUGGACUUGUUACUAACUUUCUGGAAAAUAACCAGCCAAUACCCAUUAAAAAUUAAAAUUUACACCAGUUCCCUGGUGGCCUAGCAGGUCAAGGAUUGGGUGGUGUCACUGCUAUGGCUUGGGGCACUGCUGUGGUGUGGGUGUGAUUCUUAGCCUGGGAACUUCUUUAUGCUGUGGGUGUGGCCCAAAAAAUUAAAAUUUACAUAAUUUUAACCCAUGUACAAAGACGUUCACUGGGACACUGUUUACAGAAUAAAAAUGGGGAAUAAUGCAAGUGAUGUUAUUCAUUGGGCAAUGGCUGAAUUAAUUACAGCAAAUCUAUAACUUGGAAUAUCAUACAACUCGCUAAAGAAUUACCAGUAUGAGUCUAUAUAUCGCCAUGUAUCAUAUGCUAAGGAAAAAUAAAAAGCAGAGUGAUGAUUAUAACAUAACCCAUUUUAUCUUUAAACAUUAUUUAUGUUUAUAAGCAUUUCCAUAAUUACAGAGAAAGGACUGGGAGAGUAUUUUGGUUACUGGUCAGAGAGAGUUAAUGCUUUUUUCUUUUUUUUGGCCACGCCCACAACAUGUGGACGGUCCAGGGCCAAGGACUGAACUCACCCAGAGCAGCAACAAAACUGGAUCCCCCCGCCACAAGGGAACUCCUAAUGCUUUAUUUAAAUAUCUCUAUGUUGUCUGUUUUGUUACAAGGAGUGUCACUUUAGGAACCAGAAAACUCUACAGUUAAACUAGGAAGUUUAUGUGUAAAAAUCAAAUCAGAGUUGCAUUAGCUCAAUGGGAUUAUGAGGAAAACUUUUCCAUGUUAAACUGCUGACGCAAAAGCACAUUCUAAGCAACAGAG